rnacentral:rRNA from 1 species
UACGUAGGGUGCAAGCGUUGUCCGGAAUUACUGGGCGUAAAGCGCGCGUAGGUGGUUUGUUAAGUUGGAUGUGAAAUCCCCGGGCUCAACCUGGGAACUGCAUUCAAAACUGACAAGCUAGAGUAUGGUAGAGGGUGGUGGAAUUUCCUGUGUAGCGGUGAAAUGCGUAGAUAUAGGAAGGAACACCAGUGGCGAAGGCGACCACCUGGACUGAUACUGACACUGAGGUGCGAAAGCGUGGGGAGCAAACAGG